GGUAACCUGCCCCAUAGACGAGGACAACCAUUAGAAAUGAUGGCUAAUACUCGAUAGUCUUGCUUCUCAUAAGAGAAGUAAGUAAAACUCCGGUGCUAUGGGAGGGACCUUUGUUCUAUCAGCUUGUUGGUGAGGUAAAAGCUCACCAAGGCAACGACGGAUAGCGGGUGUGAGAGCACGACCCGCCUCACUGGGACUGAGACACUGCCCAGACAUCUACGGAUGGCUGCAGUCAAGAAUCUUCCGCAAUGGGCGAAAGCCUGACGGAGCGACGCCGCGUGUGGGAAGACGCCUUUCGGGGUGUAAACCACUUUUCUGUGGGAAAAACUAGCGAUGGUACCUCAGGAAUAAGGGGCUGCUAACUACGUGCCAGCAGCAGCGGUAAUACGUAGGCCCCAAGCAUUAUCCGGAUUUAUUGGGCGUAAAGCGCUAAAAGGUGGUUUUGUAAGUCAGGUGUUAAAGACCGGAGCUCAACUCCGGGCCUGCACCUGAAACUACUUAACUUGAGUAUGGGAGAGGCAAGUGGAAUUACCGGUGUAGCAGUAAAAUGCGUUAAUAUCGGUAGGAACACCAAUGGCGAAGGCAGCUUGCUGGAACAUUACUGACACUAAAUAGCGAAAGCGUAGGUAGCGAAUGGGAUUAGAUACCCCAGUAGUCUACGCCGUAAACGCUGGAUACUAGGUAUCGGGGGAUUCGACCCCCUCGGUAUCGUUUAGCUAACGCGUUAAGUAUCCCGCCUGGGGAGUACGGUCGCAAGACUAAAACUCAAAGGAAUUGACGGGGACCCGCACAAGCGGUGGAGCAUGUGGUUUAAUUCGACGAUAAGCGAGGAACCUUACCAGGACUUGACAUCUAGAGAAGCUCUCGUAAUGGAGAGUGUGCCUUCGGGAACUCUAAGACAGGUGAUGCAUGGUUGUCGUCAGCUCGUGCCGUGAGGUGUACCCUUAAGUGGGGUAACGAGCGCAACCCCUAUCCUAUGUUAAAUGAUCAUAGGAGACUGCCGGUGAUAAACCGGAGGAAGGUGGGGAUGACGUCAAAUCAGCAUGUCCCUUAUGUCCUGGGCGACACACGUGCUACAAUGGGUAAUACAAAGGGACGCCAAGCCGCAAGGUGGAGCAAAUCCCAUCAAAAUUACCCCCAGUUCGGAUUGCGGGCUGCAACUCGCCCGCAUGAAGUUGGAAUCGCUAGUAACCGUAUAUCAGCCAUGGUACGGUGAAUACGUUCCCGGGCCUUGUACACACC
rnacentral:rRNA from 1 species